UAGUGCUCCUUGGCUGUAGCUCUAUCACAGCUCUGCUUGGCUGUUUGAUGUUCAAACUUGUGAUCUAAAUGAAUUGGAGUUUUCUUUUUAAGAGCUGUACAGGGGGCUAUGGCUUAUGCAGUAGCUUGAUAGGAAAGCUGGAAAUAGGACUUCAUCUCCGGAACUGAUCGUCUACCUACUCAAACAGGAACCACUGCAAUGAGAAUACCAAAUUGUCCAUCGGUUUCUGCCCCAGCUUUCCAAGAGUAUCAAGUCAAGUUCAAGGUCUGGACCCUAAUCCUCAAGGGAAAAAACCUUUCCAUCAUCAUGAAGGAAAUCUGUUACAAAAGUGAACUGUAAACCUGGAUUUCCUGGCUCCUAGUUACUGAAGUGGCAUCAUUCUGAGGACAUGCGUCUUUAAAGCUGUUUACUUUCUCAGUAUCAGAUUGACACCGGUCACUAAAAUACUGGUAAGGCUGGGAAUCCAGAAGCUUGUUCUUUCCUGUUAAAGGGAUUCAUAUCCUGGUUCUGAGACCACUGCCACAGUAUUUUAACGGUGGAUUUUGGCAUGCCAUCACAAAAACAUAAGAAAUUAUUUCGGUGACAAUAUGUUGGCUUCUUAGAUCCCUCAGACAUGAAAUCGAGAUUUCAUUAUGGCGACUUACCAACAUUAUUUGUUCUUUAGAUAAUUCUUAAAAGUUUCCGUGAUGUAUUGGCUUCCAGGUUUAAGCCACAAGAAGCUUGAAAUUUAUCUCUGGAGCUGAGAUUUAGGUUUCAUUAACAGUUAAGCCUUCGUCUGGAGUGCUGAAGUGUUCUGCAAUGGGUAACUCAGCUUGUUAGUAACAUUAGCAGAUUUGUGAGUCCUCAAAUGCGUCUAUGGAUAAUUGUUUCAACCUUGUGUUCUUUAUUAUAAUCCGCUGUCUGAUAAUGGGCUUCAGGGUAGAUAAGAGAAGGAAAUGUGCCAGUAGGAUUUCAUUCAAUCUUGUGCAUUCUACCCGCAGCUGCUGUUUCCUCUAAGGUGAUGGCUGACUUGGCAUCUCUUGCUUUAAAGCAGAGAAAGCCACGAUUGAUGGCAGGCCAUUCUAAUGCCUCCUUACCAGCCAUUCAUGGAGACUUUGAGAUUACUGUAAAGAGAUAUCACCGGUCUAGGAGCUGCUUUCUGGAAUCAUUCUUCUUGCAAUAGUGCAAAUGGACAGCUUUUGUUUCUAUCGCAGCAGCAAUCACUGUUUAAAUUAGAGAGCUCUUUGAAAUUUUUUGACAGAGCAGUUUUCUGCUGAUAAAUGCAGUUUCACUAACAUUGAAAUGCUUCUCCAGGGAGGGUAUCAAUUUUGGCAAUUUUUUUCCAUGAGAAAGAAAAAGAAGCAUCUUGGCUUUGAGGGAAGAUUUUAUGAAGUUGAAAUAUUUUGUUUUGAAUUUAUCACUUUUAUUAAUGUUUAGGUUUUAAGUUUAUGCUAAGGUUGGAAGUGUAGAUAUUCAGUAACAUGUAUUCACGUUUAGUACGGUACCUUAUUGUUUCUACAUAAUCGUACUGAAAUGGGUUUUGCUUUGCCAAAAUGAAAUGAUUUAACUUUAAGCCAAAUAGUAAGCUAAUUCUAAAUCUUGGAAGGCCUUAGAAAUCUUGAUUCCUGGGGAAAAUAUGUCAUUUUAAUUUAGAAUGAAAACAUUUUAAGCAUUGAAAUUUCCUAUUAAAAAAAUCAGGUUUCUCACUGGUUCUGUAUUAAAUGCAGACGUUUUUAAUUUCUCCAGCUAAUCUUUUAGUUCUUCAUACCUCUGCAGCCUUCUGAAAAAUAACUUCUAUUGCUUGAGAGCUGCUCCCUAGAAAAGAUUACUGGGAUGAAUAUUUGCCUUCCUGAACUGUAUGGUAGAGUUUGUACAUCUUUCACAGCUAGCCGUAUUUCUGACUGUCACAAUGGUGAUCACUUCAUUUAUA